GUAACAUACUUGAAGAAAGGAACUCAAACUAACACUAGAACUCUGUGAGACUUGAGCCUAUUAUUUGUUUGGAGAGUUAAUAAUCUGUGAUAUUCUUGUUUUCUAAAGUCAUUGCAUGAUCUCAUUAUUUCUUUGCUUGGUUGCUACUUAGAAUGUUUUUUCAUCAUUUUAGUUUCAAAUACUAGAACUCAUGUCCGUUUCAUUCAAAGCAUAAAAUUGAUUGCAUAACAAAUAACAAGAUGAAGUUGUUUUGUUACCACCAAAGUCAAAAAGCCUUAUCCCUUGCAUAUUUAUUGUAGGUUUAACCCCUUUGAACCUUAUUUAGCCUAUUUUCUUUGUUAGCUUGCAUUAUCCCUACCUAGCCUAGUAUAGGAAUAUCCAUACCCUUAUUCUUAAAGAAUAGUGGAGCAUGACUUGUUGGGAAAUCCUUUUGAUCUACGAUUUGAAGAAAAACAAGUGUGGGAGAAGAAUUUGUUCUUUUAAAUCCAGUGAAGUAGUACUUAUGUUUUAUGUUUAAAAAAAAAAACGUUGAAAAAAAAGAAAAAAAAAUUGAAAAAAAGUGAGAAUGAGUUCAUAAGUGUUGGUUGUUGAAGAAGGGUCCAAAAUGUGAAUCUGACCCUAAAGUUGUAAAAAUCUCCCCUUAGUGUUUAAAGUUGGGUGCUACAAUCAAAAGUUGAAUUCUAAGUGUUGAUUUCAUUACUUUGCUUACUAUCACUUUAAGAACCUUUGUUUAUCCUUAACCUUUCUUUGUUAGCCAAUACCUUAGCCCCAUUAUAACCCUUAGACUUUUUUCUUGAUUGUUAUAUGAUUCAAUAUGUGGAGUUUGAAAUUGGUACGAGCAUAUGGAAUCCCUAGUUCUUGCUUCUAAGUAGUGGCAUUCCAUUCAUGAGAUCAUAUACAUGUUUGUAUUAAUAAUUCCAGAAAGUGUCUUCUUUGUUAUAACUUAUGUGAGUGCUAGACUAUAUUUUUACAUCAAUCUUCUCACAUAUACUUAGUUUAGGCAGUAUAGUCAGAAAAUCUAUGUAAAAAUAGAGAGUAUAUCUGGUGAGGAAUUGAGUGAAUUCUCUAAGGCAUGUUACUACUUUCAAAUGUUGUUUUAGUUGAUUAAAUGCAAGCUAGUGAGUGGUUAUUGCAGUUAAGUAUAAGCUCAAGAGUAAGGAUGACUAAAAUCUAUGUGAGUAGUGAUUUUAACAUGUCAUGUUUCAUCAGAAAUCCCUGAGGCAAUUGUUGGAAGGUUUAGGUUUUGUUUUGUUUUCAUUGUUUUGCUCGUUGACUAGCAAAAGUUAAGUGUGGGGGAAUUUGAUAGAAGCAUAUUUAUGCAACUUUGUUAUUUUAUUUCUUUACAUUUACUUAGUUAAUUUCCAUUUAUUUGGGUAAUUUAAGUUAUUUUCAUAUUAUUGUAGGACCAGUUGGUAAAGAUGAUAACAAAUAACUAAAUUGAGCAAUUUGGAGCAGUUUUGGACCACAAUUGGAUAACAUUCGUGGAUAGCAUAUGGGCUACCUUUUUGGUGUUUAAAUGGUGUUGGACAUGUGAUAAACUCUAGAGAAAUUAAAGUUGAGGCUUGGAAGACAAGGAAUAACACAAGAAAGAGGAAUCCUAGUUGGGGAGGAACAUUAUCUUAUAUUAUCCUAUCUUAUCCAACAUCAACAUUGAUGCGUAAAAUAACUAAACACACAAAUUAAACCCUCUUGUUGACAAUUGUAGUAUGAAUAAGUAGGGAUCGUUCUAGACCGGAGAUUAGGAGGGAUUGCUAAACACUUGAAAAUUGACUUAGAAACGUAAAAACAAAGUUUAAAACACUAGAUUAGACUCAAAGAAUGUAAAACUAAAGUUUAAAACACUAAAACAAACCAAAAACUCAAAACAGCAACCAAAAGACUCAAAACUGCCUUAAAAACACUUUCUGGGCAGUUUUGAGCACAAAGCACCAAAUUGGACGAAUUUGGGUUUUAACUUGUACCAAAACACUUAAAAACAUAAACCAAAACAUUUUCUAACUAAUCUAGGACUUCAAAAUAAAUGGGGAUUUGAUUUGCACGAAAAUAAACUAACAAAACAGAUUGCAAAGUAAAAACAGAUUUGAAAACGAUUUUGGGGUUUUAAAUGGAUGAUGGAUUAGUUA
rnacentral:lncRNA from 1 species